rnacentral:rRNA from 1 species
UCGGGUUGUAAAGCACUUUUGUCCGGAAAGAAAACCUUUGGGCUAAUACCCUGAGGGGAUGACGGUACCGGAAGAAUAAGCACCGGCUAACUACGUGCCAGCAGCGCGGUAAUCGUAGGGUGCGAGCGUUAAUCGGAAUUACUGGGCGUAAAGCGUGCGCAGGCGGUUCGUUAAGACAGAUGUGAAAUCCCCGGGCUUAACCUGGGAACUGCAUUUGUGACUGGCGAGCUAGAGUAUGGCAGAGGGGGGUAGAAUUCCACGUGUAGCAGUGAAAUGCGUAGAGAUGUGGAGGAAUACCGAUGGCGAAGGCAGCCCCCUGGGCCAAUACUGACGCUCAUGCACGAAAGCGUGGGGAGCAAACAGGAUUAGAUACCCUGGUAGUCCACGCCCUAAACGAUGUCAACUAGUUGUUGGGGAUUCAUUUCCUUAGUAACGUAGCUAACGCGUGAAGUUGACCGCCUGGGGAGUACGGUCGCAAGAUUAAAACUCAAAGGAAUUGACGGGGACCCGCACAAGCGGUGGAUGAUGUGGAUUAAUUCGAUGCAACGCGAAAAACCUUACCUACCCUUGACAUGGUCGGAACCCUGCUG